UACAGAGGGUGCGAGCGUUGUCCGGAAUCACUGGGCGUAAAGGGCGUGUAGGCGGCUGGAUAAGCCGCGUGUGAAAUCCCGGGGCUCAACCCCGGAACGGCACGCGGGACUGUUCGGCUAGAGAAUGGUAGAGGCAAGUGGAAUUCCUGGUGUAGCGGUGGAAUGCGUAGAGAUCAGGAAGAACACCAAUGGCGAAGGCAGCUCGCUGGGACGUGACUGACGCUGAGACGCGAAAGCGUGGGGAGCAAACAGG
rnacentral:rRNA from 1 species